rnacentral:rRNA from 1 species
AUUGAACGCUGGCGGCAGGCCUAACACAUGCAAGUCGAACGAGUGGCGGACGGGUUAGUAAUGUCUGGGAAACUGCCUGAUGGAGGGGGAUAACUACUGGACACGGUAGCUACUACCGCAUACCAGCACAUGUGCCCAGAUGGGAUGAGCUAGUUGGGGGGGUAACGGCUCACCAAGGCGACGACCCCUAGCUGGUCUGAGAGGAUGAACAGCCACACUGGAACUGAGACACGGUCCAGACUCCUACGGGAGGCAGCAGUGGGGAAUAUUGGACAAUGGGCGCAAGCCUGAUGCAGCCAUGCCGCGUGUAUGAAGAAGGUCUUCGGGUUGUAAAGUACUUUCAGCGGGGAGGCGUUACCCGCAGAAGAAGCACCGGCUAACUCCGUGCCAGCAGCCGCGGUAAUUC